CCUUCAACCAGCGGAGUCACGCCAUCUUCCAGCCUACCAGCCGUACUACUCAAACUACGAACGUCAACAGGGAAGGCAGAAUGUCGAGAAGGAACGGGAUCCCUAUGAACGGUAUCUACCACGAGAAGACGACAAUGAUCCCUAUUUCAGGUACGCCCCAAGGGAGGACAUUCAGCACUACCACGGAGGCGCAGAAAAUAUAGGAGCAGCCAGACAGGAGCACAUACAACAUGACCUCUACGGGUCAGCACCGGGUCAAAGAUACCUCAAAAGAAAACUCGAAGGUUACAACAAGGCUACUACUGACUAUGUUUAUGACGAAUAUGACAGCGCUGGUCGCCAAGAAACCAACUAUCCAAGUCCAACGAACGAUUAUUAUUACAACUACGACUGCAGUGAAUAUCCUCCUAGAAACCCAACCAGAAAACAACCCGACUACAAUUACGAAAAUCAACGGGACACUGGUAGCCAUAGCAAUCGUCGCCAUGGUGACGGUCGUCAUGGCAACGGUCGUCAGGACAACGGACGUGGAAACAGAUAUGCGUACGAUGAGCGAGGCGGGAAAAGAGGCUAGGGGUGGCAUAUAGUUGCAGUAAUGCAGUACGCAAUCGUGCAUGAGUAAAAGAUGCGAUGUGACCUUAGAAAGGUGGCAAGGCAAGAGCUUCCGUUGAAGCUCAUAGCUGUGUUUAACUUGUGAGGCCGUUAGUGUUACAAUGGUGACAGGAUGGUUAAGUCAUAUGUGUGUGUUAUCCUAUAGGGUGGAAUUGUUCACGGAUUUUGUGUAUCGUUAUGAUGUUCUGUCAAGCAUAGGGAGCUUCAUGGAUUUUUCUUUUUAAUAUGCAGGAUAGUCGCAAGACGCUAGUGUGACAUGAAGAAAUAGCGGCAUGUUGAUGGCAAUAUCGUUUUGUUGGGCUUGUUUAAUACACAUUUAUUCCGAUGACGAUAUCUUCUGACAGAAUCAUGAACGUGCGGUGAAUAUAAUUGCUGCCAAGUUAAA